rnacentral:lncRNA from 1 species
GGCCUCCUUCCCCUCCCCCACGGGCGGGGCGACGACCGGGAACUAGGGCCGCCGGCGAGCGGAGGAACCAGGCGGGUGGGCUUCCUACCCUGAAACCGCCUCUGCAGGAGCCCACUGCCCCGCUUCGCGGCUUGGCGCCCGUUGGCGCGCUCUGGGAGCUGGCGGCGGACAGGGUACCCCCGGGCUGCUUCAUCCUAGCAAUCCCCAGCCCCACCUGUGCCCUCCUCUGCACCACGCGCGCAGGUCAUCCUCCUCCCCACGCAGCCUUCCGCUCACCUUGCAGGAAAGGCUCGGCUCUGCACGCACGCACGCACUCUUGCUGGCGUAGGCAGCCGGCGAGAACAAUGUUUCCGCCGCACCAACCCCGACACCAAGCGCACACACCGGACGGUUGCCGCGAGCCGCGGAGCGGAGGGAAAUGUCCCCUGCCGACCACCACACCGACCGCCCCUCUCGGCCCCCGUACACACCUCCAACCAACAGCGGCGGCGGGCACGUCGCGCGGAGGGAUGCUGAAGCCUCCCUGUCCUCUCAGGUGGCGCGAACAAAAAAGAUGGCUCGCCGCUAACCAGUGGCUUUUACAAACGGUUAUUCCUGGAGCCUUUAUUCGUGAUAAGAGGGAGCAAAUUUAGUAAUGGUCCUGGUUGCUGCGUUAUCGGAGCAUUAAAAUGCAGUUUUGAACUCUGCACAGUGAGCUCACCUGUAUUGCUUAAUUAGCCUGUUUUAGGAAAUGGAGGUUUAAAAGUCUUUCUCAUCAA